UUCAGAUGGUGCUUUUAUUGCAAUGUGUUGCAUUCCCACAUUCAUAGAUGUUAUAGAUUUGUUAGUCAAAGCAUCAUUUCCACAAGGUUGGCAUCCUCACCUUGGAAACAAAAAGCAGAGGGACCAAAUGCACGAGGUGUUUGUGUUUUGAGUGUAGUCGAGAAGUGUGUGUCGGUGUGUGUGUGUGUUUCUGUGUAAACUUGAGAGCAGCCACGAACAUAUGAAUGAACAAACCUCCGAGUUUGGACUUCCAGUAGACAAAAGAACAAAAAAAAAAAUUAAAAUUAAAGAGAGUUUAGUUUGUCUUAUAGCCUCCAGGGCUCUCACUCCCCGCUGGGACUGGACCCGGCCUGAGACUGAUUGUCUACAACAUUCCCAAAGAAAAAGGUAGAUUUCUUUUAUUUUCACGUUACACACCUGAACGAGAGAGAGCGGGAGGGUCUGAGGGUUUUUCAAAAGAGUCCGAGAGAGAAAAAGAAAACAUAACAUGCAUAAAAUUCUCCCAGGUGAACACUGUCACUCAUAUUGUCUUGUAAUAGCUGCUCUGAUGCCUCUUUAAAAACAAACUUUACAUGAGUUUUAUAUACAAAACUGGACAAAGAAAUGAGUAAAAUGUAUAUUAUAUAUUUGUCUAUAUAUUUAUAUAUCUAUUUAUAUUAAUUUUUACAAGGGAGCAAGUGGAACCUUGGUCUCGUAUCUUAAAAUAUCCACCCAGAGAAACAAAAGUGGUGAGAAAAAACUAAACCUUCGCUUAAGGCAGCACUUAUAAUAGUCGACAACUGACGCCGUGGUGAGAAUAGUUUCGAAAACCUGCAUUAGGAAUGAGCUGGAAGGAAGUCCCGGUUGUUCAACAACUUUAAAAAAAUAAAAACAAAAAACCGCCGCAGGGACUCCCAAUAAAACACAAGCAAAAACAGAGAAGACAAGCGACACGAGUGGUGCGUUGUCGUUUACAUCAGUGCACAAUCGUUUGGACAGGUAAGAGGUAAAGGUCUCACACUUCCCACUGACACAGAGAGAGAGGAAAGCGAACGCUGCUGCAGAAAACGGCCGGGAGCAGGAAUGUACAGAGAGUUCAAGCCAGAAAGGAGGAUUUUAAGAGUUCAACAGCGCAGAAAGGAGGGAGAGGAUGUCACCUGAAGAAGAACAGCAUAGUUAUUACGAUAAACCCACAGAGAAAGCAGCUGCUGUGUACAAUUUUUAGCUUGUUUUUGUUCUUCCCACAAUGGCUCCAGUUCACCUGAACUUAAAUUUUUACCAUAAAACGGAUCUCAAAAGUCUACAAAACCCGCUGAAAAUGGUGAUUUUUAAAAUUAUUUCAACAAAUUUUCUGCUUAAUUCAAUUGAAGAACAAACAAAAACAGGUUCGUUUGUGUAAAACAACCUUGUUGCACAACUUUUGAAACUUUAAUUAUUCAUUUUCAGCAUUCACUUUUCUUCUGUAGACAGUGGACAUGAAUUUUUCAAUAAAUUUGAUUAACCAGAAAGAAACUAUAGCGGGAGCAAAAUGCACAAAAUAAGACGGAAAGUUUCCAGUGGUAAAAACCGCUAAUCCAAAACGUCAGUUGAGCUAACGCUGAAGUGCUAUUCCAAUAUGGCAUUUGGCUAAUGCUAACGUUCUAAAUUCAACCAGUUAAAAAUAAAAAACAAGCAUUAUAUCGAUCUCAGCGGGGUAAAAAUUGUUGUUGCACACAUGUCUUCAUGGUUGUGCUUCAGGUACUGAUUAUUUGGAAAAUAAUUUUUUCUAGUUUUAGUUUUAUAGUUAUUGAGUAUUGCUAACUCUGUUGCUAAUUUUGGCCAAUUAACCACGGAAGGGCUUCGGUCAGUAUAUUUUAAACUGGUACAGCAAUGCAUUAUGGGUAUAGAAUAAGCGUCACUAUCGCGGGUGGAGAAAGUGAGGUGAAAAAAAAGAUUAAGGAGGAAAGUGAAUUGCUCCCUAAACAAUCUUCUCCAAUUAAAAAUGAGAGCAUGAUAAUUAGAACACAGAUGUCGAACUUUAUUCAACUGAAAGUUUACAAUACAGCCAAACAAACAAAACUUUCUUAAUUUAUGGGAAGCUAAGUGUGUUAAAUGUUUUCAAAGUUAGCUUAGCAAAGAAUUAGCUCCGCCAACACCCUAAUAAAUAACUGAAAUCCAGUAAUACUUGUGAACAAUUAUAACUUCCUACGUUGAUUGUUCAAUUUAGAUAUUUAUAUGGAUUAAAAUGGACAGUUUAAAUAAUCUUUAGCAGAAGCAAAUAUUGACAGCUAAGGUCCUAUACAAAAAUGUAGCUCUGCUAUUAGCACAUUUGCAGGUUAGUCCGCCAUUGGAAGCCUCAAUGCACAAGAAUAUAAUUCAGAACAAGGCAAUUAAAACUUUCCACGGUAUAAAUGAAAAUAUGUUCUGACUUAAGAGAGACUUAGAAAACUUCCCAAGAUGCUAACGCACAGAACACUAAAUACUGAUUUAGGAUGUGAAAACAAUACAACUUUUUAAAAUAUUUUGUUUGUUUUUCAGAUGAAUACAAAAAAUAUGACACAACAGAAGUGGAAAAAAGUUUUGAAAUGAUUUAUCAUGAUCUAAAGGCCAAACUUUGCAUUGUAGCUGAGUUUUGUAGACUUUCAGGAGCCACUUUAUCUCCGAAUGCUAAUCUGACUUCAUGGCCUUUUUCACCCAGAGCGGAUCCAGAUAUAUAAAGUGCAGAAUUAGAUUGUAUUUGCAAAUUCCUGGGAUAAUCUGAUUAAUCUACAUGUGUAAAAAAAAAAAAAAAAGUCAUUUAUACAGUAAAAAUGUGUUGUUUUUUUUUUCUCAUUUAAAAAAAACCCUGGUAAACAAGGUUAUUGUUAAUCAGCAAAUAUAUACACGAGGCACCUCAAGUUUGGUAUAAAGUAUUCAGUUGAAGAAUGAGACUGAAAGCUGAUAGGUCAUCAAGCAUGGGUUUGUUUUCAUCUUUAAAUGAAUGGCUUAGUGUCACUCCAGUGUAACUUCUACAUUACAAAUGAGGAAAUGCUUGUUUAGGUAAGGUGCAUAGCUAAUGGUUGCAAUGGUUUUUUUUUUUUGUGUGUUUUUUUCCUGUAAACAGGUGAUAGCACUUCGGGCUCAAAAAGACGGCAUUGGCAGAGUCUAAACUGAGCAAACUUUGGGACAUCACAGGGUUUCAACGCUGAUAGGCCACUCUGAAAAGACGAAAACGAGCGUGCAGGAGAGCCAGAAACGAAGAAGAGCCGCUACAUUAUGUGUUGUCCAGUGACGAUGAGAAAAAGCUGCUGAGUGUCUCCGUUUAUUAUCCGGACUGUGGAGGAAACCGUUUCCAUUUGGGAAUGCCUUUUCCAUGCAGGAAAGAGAAAGAGGAGCGACGCUGUGUGUGGGAAAAUAUCUCUGCCGUUUUCCAUUCAGGAUUUAAAAAAAUGUAGCAGCAAUUUGCCAGUAAAAGCAGUUUCUUCAU